rnacentral:lncRNA from 1 species
CAGCUGCAACAGUUGCUGAAUCCACACCAGAUUGUUGAACUUGAACUUGCAUUUCCUCUUGAUCACCACCACCUUGUUCAUCCUCCAAGGGCAAUCUCUCAUAGGUAGCAUUAGCAAAAGUAGCAGCUAUAACCAUAACAGGUCCAGAAGCAACCAAAGGACCUGCAACAGAACCACCAACAACCUGCCCCUGACCACCAGCUAAAUAAACAGUUAAUCCAGUCGCUCCAGCCGGAGAAGGCGGAGGUAGAAAAGCUCCCGAAAGUGAAAGUAUCUCGAAUCUUCCAUGAAGAGUAAUAACACCACCAGGAGCAGCCGGC